GAAGAAAUCUGCCAAGUAUUGUCUGUUUGCACAAGAACAAGAUACAGAUGGUGAACUUGAGACCAAAUUGUACAAGGCUGAUGUAUUGCCUACAUGCGGAGGUGGAGCGCAGAUUGUAUUUAAUGACAUAGAAUAUUUAAAACAAAUAUCUCCGAGCACAGCGAAAUGACAUAAUGGACAGAUAAAUCAGGAAAGAUUUCAGUAUAUACAUAAGUAUUUUAUGUAUACAUUAUCAAAAACCUACUUAAGUUGUAAAACAUAAUUCAUGAGACGAUCGCAGAAUUUAUUUUAUUCGUCGUUUGUUUAUCAUUUAUUUAACAGAUAUACUUCAGAGAAAGAGAGUAUUAUUUUCACUUCUCGUUUGGAUACUUUGGAAUUCCCACAGCCAACGUCGCAUUAUAGAUUGAGAAUAGAAGACUAAAUUUUUUUUUUACAAAUCGCAAUUGUAUUUUCUUUUUAAAUUGUAGAACGAUGUGUUUGCCACUUCUCGAAUCCAAAGUAUCCAUACAUCGUUAUGUAAAGUUGCAAAACAAACUCUGUACACUUCCCGAAAUCGUGAACAUAAAAUAGAAACAAGACUGCGACAUUAUCUUGUGUAAUAAAAGCUGCAAACACUUUGCGUACCGAUGAAUCUCAAUUUA